GACGAACGCUGGCGGCGUGCUUAACACAUGCAAGUCGAACGGAAAGGCCCUGCUUUUGUGGGGUGCUCGAGUGGCGAACGGGUGAGUAACACGUGAGUAACCUGCCCUUGACUUUGGGAUAACUUCAGGAAACUGGGGCUAAUACCGGAUAAGAGCUCCUGCUGCAUGGUGGGGGUUGGAAAGUUUCGGCGGUUGGGGAUGGACUCGCGGCUUAUCAGCUUGUUGGUGGGGUAGUGGCUUACCAAGGCUUUGACGGGUAGCCGGCCUGAGAGGGUGACCGGCCGCAUUGGGACUGAGAUACGGCCCAGACUCCUACGGGAGGCAGCAGUGGGGAAUAUUGCACAAUGGGCGGAAGCCUGAUGCAGCAACGCCGCGUGCGGGAUGACGGCCUUCGGGUUGUAAACCGCUUUCGCCUGUGACGAAGCGUGAGUGACGGUAAUGGGUAAAGAAGCACCGGCUAACUACGUG
rnacentral:rRNA from 1 species